ACGGAGGAUGCAAGCGUUAUCCGGAUUUAUUGGGUUUAAAGGGUGCGUAGGCGGAUUUAUAAGUCAGCGGUGAAAUACUUCAGCUUAACUGAAGAGUUGCCGUUGAUACUGUCAGGCUUGAAUAUGGUUGAUGUGGGUGGAAUGUGUAAUGUAGCGGUGAAAUGCUUAGAUAUCACACAGAACACCGAUUGCGAAGGCAGCAUGCAAAGCCAUAAUUGACGCUGAUGCACGAAAGUGUGGGGAUCAAACAG
rnacentral:rRNA from 1 species